GGUGGGUGAAUGCGUGUGGUCUGAUCAGAAAAGCUCUCAGAAGAUGAGAUACCUGCUUUCCAGAGCUCUUUUCUGGUGGGGAAGGGAGGAAUGGUGGCUGAUGCUGCAUCCUGAGCUCUUCUCCAGACGACACUAAAGUCAUCCAACCUGAAGCAGGAGUCUGGGAGCUCAUUCUGGUUGCAGCCUUCCUGUUGGGACUGGGGAGAAUUCUGCAGAGAAAUAGGCCAACUAAGCGAUUUAGUUUUCUUUUAAUUCUUGUUUGUCUCAUGGUGUUACCAUAUGGAGGAGGCACACAGCAGUUUGUAACAGACACCUGUGCAGAGCAUGAAGCUCAUGUGAAAUGUGCUUGUCUUCAGUUUUGUCUUGCUGAAGAAGUAGACAACUCAAGAUACC
rnacentral:lncRNA from 1 species